rnacentral:rRNA from 1 species
AGAGUUUGAUCAUGGCUCAGAUUGAACGCUGGCGGAAUGCUUUACACAUGCAAGUCGAACGGUAGAGGGGGCAACCCCUUGAGAGUGGCGAACGGGUGAGUAAUGUAUCGGAACGUGCCCAGUCGUGGGGGAUAACGUAGUGAAAAUUACGCUAAUACCGCAUACGAUCUAUGGAUGAAAGCGGGGGAUCGCAAGACCUCGCGCGAUUGGAGCGGCCGAUAUCAGAUUAGGUAGUUGGUGGGGUAAAGGCUCACCAAGCCAACGAUCUGUAGCUGGUCUGAGAGGACGACCAGCCACACUGGAACUGAGACACGGUCCAGACUCCUACGGGAGGCAGCAGUGGGGAAUUUUGGACAAUGGACGCAAGUCUGAUCCAGCCAUUCCGCGUGCAGGACGAAGGCCUUCGGGUUGUAAACUGCUUUUGUACGGAACGAAAAAGCUCUUAUUAAUACUAGGAGUCCAUGACGGUACCGUAAGAAUAAGCACCGGCUAACUACGUGCCAGCAGCCGCGGUAAUACGUAGGGUGCAAGCGUUAAUCGGAAUUACUGGGCGUAAAGCGUGCGCAGGCGGUUAUAUAAGACAGAUGUGAAAUCCCCGAGCUUAACUUGGGAACUGCAUUUGUGACUGUAUAGCUAGAGUACGGCAGAGGGGGAUGGAAUUCCGCGUGUAGCAGUGAAAUGCGUAGAUAUGCGGAGGAACACCGAUGGCGAAGGCAAUCCCCUGGGCCUGUACUGACGCUCAUGCACGAAAGCGUGGGGAGCAAACAGGAUUAGAUACCCUGGUAGUCCACGCCCUAAACGAUGUCAACUGGUUGUUGGGUCUUCACUGACUCAGUAACGAAGCUAACGCG